AGAGUUUGAUCCUGGCUCAGGAUGAACGCUAGCUACAGGCUUAACACAUGCAAGUCGAGGGGCAGCAUGUUGGUUGCUUGCAACCAAUGAUGGCGACCGGCGCACGGGUGAGUAACGCGUAUCCAACCUACCCUUGUCCAUCGGAUACCCGUAAAAACGAAGGCGGCCUAACACGAUAUGCGGUUCACAGCAGGCAUCUAAGGUGAACGAAAUGUGAAGGAGAAGGAUGGGGAUGCGUCUGAUUAGCUUGUUGGCGGGGUAACGGCCACCAAGGCUACGAUCAGUAGGGGUUCUGAGAGGAAGGUCCCCCACAUUGGAACUGAGACACGGUCCAAACUCCUACGGGAGGCA
rnacentral:rRNA from 1 species